rnacentral:rRNA from 2 species
UAGGGUCAAGCGAACAAGUGCAUGUGGUGGAUGCCUUGGCGAUCACAGGCGAUGAAGGACGCGGUAGCCUGCGAAAAGCUGCGGGGAGCUGGCAAACGAGCUUUGAUCCGCAGAUCUCCGAAUGGGGAAACCCGGCCCGUAUGGGUCAUCCUAGGCUGAAUACAUAGGUCUAGUGAAGCGAACGCGGCGAACUGAAACAUCUAAGUAGCCGCAGGAAGAGAAAUCAACCGAGAUUCCCAAAGUAGUGGCGAGCGAAAUGGGAAGAGCCUGUACGUGUUAUUGGUGUGGUUAGCUGAACGUUCUGGAAAGGGCGGCCAUAGCGGGUGAUAGCCCCGUAAGCGAAAACUGCAUGAAAGGACUAGGCGUACGACAAGUAGGGCGGGACACGUGAAAUCCUGUCUGAAGAUGGGGGGACCAUCCUCCAAGGCUAAAUACUCGUGAUCGACCGAUAGUGAACCAGUACCGUGAGGGAAAGGCGAAAAGAACCCCGGGAGGGGAGUGAAAUAGAUCCUGAAACCGCAUGCAUACAAACAGUCGGAGCCCCGCUUUAAGCGCUUUCGGCGUGUUCACGAAGUGAACACGUCAAAAGACAUUAAGGCUGAAAUAGCAAGACUCAGCGCUUAAAGAGGGAUUUAAGCGCGAGAGCGCUUAAAGCGGGGUGACGGCGUACCUUUUGUAUAAUGGGUCAGCGACUUACGUUCAGUAGCAAGCUUAACCGAAUAGGGCAGGCGUAGCGAAAGCGAGUCCGAAUAGGGCGUUCAGUUGCUGGGCGUAGACCCGAAACCAGAUGAUCUAUCCAUGGCCAGGUUGAAGGUGCGGUAACACGUACUGGAGGACCGAACCCACUAGUGUUGAAAAACUAGGGGAUGAGCUGUGGAUAGGGGUGAAAGGCUAAACAAAUCUGGAAAUAGCUGGUUCUCUCCGAAAACUAUUUAGGUAGUGCCUCGUGUCUCACCUUCGGGGGUAGAGCACUGUCAUGGUUGAGGGGUCCAUUGCGGAUUACCUCGCCAUAGCAAACUCCGAAUACCGAAGAGUGUAAUCACGGGAGACAGACAUCGGGUGCUAACGUCCGGUGUCAAGAGGGAAACAACCCAGACCGCCAGCUAAGGUCCCCAAAUAUGGCUAAGUGGGAAACGAAGUGGGAAGGCUAAAACAGUCAGGAGGUUGGCUUAGAAGCAGCCAUCCUUUAAAGAAAGCGUAAUAGCUCACUGAUCGAGUCGUCCUGCGCGGAAGAUGUAACGGGGCUAAGCCAUAUACCGAAGCUGCGGGUGCACGAGCAAUCGUGCGCGGUAGGAGAGCGUUCCGUAAGCCUGUGAAGGUGUCUUGUAAAGGAUGCUGGAGGUAUCGGAAGUGCGAAUGCUGACAUGAGUAGCGAUAAAGGGGGUGAAAGGCCCCCUCGCCGUAAGCCCAAGGUUUCCUACGCAACGUUCAUCGGCGUAGGGUGAGUCGGCCCCUAAGGCGAGGCAGAAAUGCGUAGCUGAUGGGAAGCAGGUCAAUAUUCCUGCACCGUCGUGAGAUGCGAUGGGGGGACGGAUCGCGGAAGGUUGUCCGGGUGUUGGACGUCCCGGUCGCUGCAUUGGAGAAGGCGCUUAGGCAAAUCCGGGCGCGGAAUUCAAGGGUGUGGCGCGAGCGGCUUUAGGCCGCGAAGCAAUCGGAAGGGGUCCCAAGAAAAGCCUCUAAGCUUCAGUCUCACGAUGACCGUACCGCAAACCGACACAGGUGGGCGAGAUGAGUAUUCUAAGGCGCUUGAGAGAACUCGGGAGAAGGAACUCGGCAAAUUGGUACCGUAACUUCGGGAUAAGGUACGCCCUGGUAGCUUGACCCCCCUGCGGGGGAAGGGUGAAGGGGUUGCAAUAAACUGGUGGCUGCGACUGUUUAAUAAAAACACAGCACUCUGCAAACACGAAAGUGGACGUAUAGGGUGUGACGCCUGCCCGGUGCCGGAAGAUUAAAUGAUGGGGUGCAAGCUCUUGAUUGAAGUCCCGGUAAACGGCGGCCGUAACUAUAACGGUCCUAAGGUAGCGAAAUUCCUUGUCGGGUAAGUUCCGACCUGCACGAAUGGCGUAACGAUGGCCACACUGUCUCCUCCCGAGACUCAGCGAAGUUGAAGUGUUUGUGAUGAUGCAAUCUCCCCGCGGCUAGACGGAAAGACCCCAUGAACCUUUACUGUAGCUUUGCAUUGGACUUUGAACCGAUCUGUGUAGGAUAGGUGGGAGGCUAUGAAACCGGAACGCUAGUUUCGGUGGAGCCGACCUUGAAAUACCACCCUGGUUUGUUUGAGGUUCUAACCUUGGCCCGUGAUCCGGGUCGGGGACAGUGCAUGGUAGGCAGUUUGACUGGGGCGGUCUCCUCCCAAAGGGUAACGGAGGAGUACGAAGGUACGCUAGGUACGGUCGGAAAUCGUGCUGAUAGUGCAAUGGCAUAAGCGUGCUUAACUGCGAGACCGACAAGUCGAGCAGGUGCGAAAGCAGGUCAUAGUGAUCCGGUGGUUCUGUAUGGAAGGGCCAUCGCUCAACGGAUAAAAGGUACUCUGGGGAUAACAGGCUGAUACCGCCCAAGAGUUCAUAUCGACGGCGGUGUUUGGCACCUCGAUGUCGGCUCAUCUCAUCCUGGGGCUGUAGCCGGUCCCAAGGGUAUGGCUGUUCGCCAUUUAAAGAGGUACGUGAGCUGGGUUUAAAACGUCGUGAGACAGUUUGGUCCCUAUCUGCCGUGGGCGUUGGAAGUUUGAGGGGGGCUGCUCCUAGUACGAGAGGACCGGAGUGGACGAACCUCUGGUGUACCGGUUGUCACGCCAGUGGCAUCGCCGGGUAGCUAUGUUCGGAAGAGAUAACCGCUGAAAGCAUCUAAGCGGGAAACUCGCCUCAAGAUGAGACUUCCCCGGGGCUUCGAGCCCCUUGAAGGGUCGUUCAAGACCAGGACGUUGAUAGGUCGGGUGUGUACACGCAGUAAUGCGCUGAGCUAACCGAUACUAAUUGCCCGUAAGGCUUGAUCCUA